rnacentral:lncRNA from 1 species
UUCAAAGACACAACAACUCCUUUAUAUGUCAUUGGUAGGUUCAAAUAAUGUAUAUUUGACAUGAAAUUGAAGCCAAAUUAGGACUUUGAGAACAUGCAAAAGCAUAAAUUAAAACUGAAAUCGUAAAGGUAUGAAAAUAUGUUUAUAAGUGGUGGGUAGUUCUCAUCUUACAAGCCGUUUUAUAAGGGUUGAGUUAGGCUCAAUCUAAAUCACAGCCUAUCGGAGAUUCAUUAGGCCACCCCUAUCGGGUCACUCGUUAUUGGACCAAUCGGGUCACAUUAGAUUAGAAUAUGGUAUGAAAUAUGUUAAUAAAUGGUGGUCAAUUCUCACCUUACAAGCUUAUUUUGUAACGGGUGACUUAACCCAAUCGCAAUUCAAGAGGCAUUUCAAAUCUAAAGGAACAUAAGAAACACAUAAAGAAAACCAAAUAAAAAGUUAUAUGAGAGAAGAUUUGUUUUAAAAUUUUUCAGUCUUUUUCCUUAACUCGGUUCAUUUCUUUGUUAUGUUUCAAUUUAGUUUCCGGGUAUACAUUGAAUGUUGCUAUGGAUCCACUACUUAUAUUUUACUUCAAAUUGGGCAUCAGAGGUGCAGCCAUUUCACAUGUGCUCUCUCAGUAAGUAUUACUUUGUUUUAUCCUAAUAACAAUGUUCAAACAUUUUUAUUCUCAUGACUUCAACUUAUAAAAUGGUGAUACUUUUAGGUACAUUAUGGCAAGUUGCCUCUUGUUGAUAUUAAUGAGAAAAGUGGAUCUCCUACCUCCAAGCAUGAAGGAUUUGCAGAUUUUCAGGUUUCUUAAAAAUGGUAUGAUGGAGUACAUUAAAUAAAUAUAGUAUGUUUGUAUUAGAGUCUAUAUUUUAAUUGAAAUCUCACUCUACUCUAUUAAAAAUAAGAAAUAGAUAAAAAAAAUAAAAAAUUCACCAUCACAACAAAAUAUUUUUCCGGUCAAAAGACGACCAUUGGUCUUAACCCUCCAGUUCCAAAGAGAAAGGAACUCCGGUAAUCAGAGUUUGGCCGGAAGAUAAGUAAAAUCUGGUCAAAGAUUGUUCCAGUUAGAAUUAAAACUCGGAUACUUCCAACUGAUAAAAGAUAACCAUUUACCUCUGAGACAGGAAAAAAAAUAAUAUAUAUAUAAUAAUCAAACAUACAUUGAUCACUUAUUAUGAUGCAAUAACUUACUUAUAUGUUGGAAUUUGUUUUCAAUUUCAAUAGGUGGUCUGUUGUUGGCCAGAGUUAUAGCAGUGACAUUCUGUGUGACCUUAUCAGCCUCAUUAGCAGCAAGGUUAGGUCCAAUUCCAAUGGCUGCAUUCCAAACUUGCCUUCAGGUUUGGAUGACAUCAUCCCUUCUUGCCGAUGGUUUAGCCGUUGCUAUACAGGUACAUCAACAUAACAUUUUUAUUCUUGUUAUUGAGAUGUAAGAUAUACACUUCUUUGUGCAAAAAUGUAAUGAAAGUUUUUAUUUUUUUUGACAAGAUAUAAUGAAAGUUAAAUAAGCAUUAAUGUACUUACUGAUUAAGUUUCCCUUUCUAACAGGCAAUUCUAGCAUGUUCAUUUGCUGAGAAAGACUAUGAUAAAGUGACU